UAAUACGUAGGGGGCAAGCGUUGUCCGGAAUUAUUGGGCGUAAAGAGCGUGUAGGCGGCCAGGUAGGUCCGUUGUGAAAACUCGAGGCUCAACCUCGAGCUGUCGGUGGAAACCAUCUGGCUAGAGUCCGGAAGAGGAGAGUAGAAUUCCUGGUGUAGCGGUGAAAUGCGCAGAUAUCAGGAGGAAUACCCGUGGCGAAAGCGGCUCUCUGGGACGGUACUGACGCUGAGACGCGAAAGCGUGGGGAGCAAACAGGAUUAGAUACCCUGGUAGUCCACGCCGUAAACGAUGGGUGCUAGGUGUGGGGGGUGUCGACUCCCCCCGUGCCGGAGCUAACGCAUUAAGCACCCCGCCUGGGGAGUACGGCCGCAAGGCUA
rnacentral:rRNA from 1 species